rnacentral:rRNA from 1 species
CAAUAGCGUAUAUUAAUGUUGUUGCAGUUAAAAAGCUCGUAGUUGGAUUUCUGGUGGGAGUGGCCGGUCCGCCGUAAGGUGUGUACUUGGUUGUCUCCCGUCAUCCUUGUGGGAACUGCUCUGGCAUUAAGUUGUCGGGGUUAGGGAACACAUCGUUUACUGUGAGCAAAAUAGAGUGUUCAAAGCAGGCUUAUGCCGUUGAAUAUAUUAGCAUGGAAUAAUAAGAUAAGACCUUGGUUUAUCUUGUUGGUUUGUACUCCAAGGUAAUGAUAAUAGGGACAGUUGGGGGUUAUUCGUAUUCAAUUGUCAGAGGUGAAAUUCUUGGAUUUAUGGAAGACGAACUACUGCGAAAGCAUUUGCCAGGGAUGUUUUCACUGACAAGAACGAAAGUUAGGGGAUCGAAGAUGAUCAGAUACC